rnacentral:rRNA from 1 species
AUGAGUGCCUGCUUCUCUGACAUGAUAAAGGAUCAUUCCCUAGAUUUCCUUUGUCUUCAGGAGACUAUGAAGAAGAAGUUCCCUCCUAAGAAUCUCAGGAAUAUAGACCCCGUGACUCAAUUUGAUUGGAAUUGGAUUCCAUCAAUUGGCAAAGCAGGGGGACUCUGUGGUAUUAAGAAGGAGACCCUAGAAGUUAUAUCUUGGAUUCCUGGUAGAUUUUGUUUGCAGGCCAACCUUUAUGAUGUUAACCGUAAGAUUGUCUGGGCUCUCAUUACUGUAUAUGGAGCAGCCCAUGAUGACAGUAAAGAUGACUUUCUGGUAGAACUAUCCGCGAUGUGUGCUCACACACAUGCCCCGUACAUAGGGGGGGAUUUUAAUAUCCUCAGAGAGGCCUGUGAUAAAAAUAAAACCUUGAAUAGAUCCCCUUAUGUGGAUAAAUUCAACUCCAUUAUAAACUCUUUGAACCUUCGAGAGAUUUAUAUGGGGGGUGGCAAGUAUACGUGGACUAAUAACCAAAAACACCCUACUCUGCAAAAACUCGACAGAGUCCUGAUGAGCUUUGAAUGGGAGGAGAUAUUUCCUUUGGUCACGGUUCGUAAACUGGUGAGGGGUGUUUCGGACCACAAUCCACUUCUUUUGUCCUCG